AUUGAACGCUGGCGGCAGGCUUAACACAUGCAAGUCGAGCGGGGGCUUCGGUCCUAGCGGCGAACGGGUGAGGAAUGCCUGGGAAUCUGCCUGGUAGUGGGGGAUAACGAUUCGAAAGGGUCGCUAAUACCGCAUACGUCCUACGGGAGAAAGCAGGGGACCUUCGGGCCUUGCGCUAUCAGAUGAGCCCAGGUCGGAUUAGCUAGUAGGUGAGGUAAAGGCUCACCUAGGCGACGAUCCGUAGCUGGUCUGAGAGGAUGAUCAGCCACACUGGAACUGAGACACGGUCCAGACUCCUACGGGAGGCAGCAGUGGGGAAUAUUGGACAAUGGGCGAAAGCCUGAUCCAGCCAUGCCGCGUGUGUGAAGAAGGCC
rnacentral:rRNA from 1 species